UACGAAGGGUGCAAGCGUUACUCGGAAUUACUGGGCGUAAAGCGUGCGUAGGUGGUUCGUUAAGUCUGAUGUGAAAGCCCUGGGCUCAACCUGGGAAUGGCAUUGGAUACUGGCGAUCUAGAGUGCGGUAGAGGGCAGUGGAAUUCCCGGUGUAGCAGUGAAAUGCGUAGAGAUCGGGAGGAACAUCUGUGGCGAAGGCGACUGCCUGGACCAGCACUGACACUGAGGCACGAAAUCGUGGGGAGCAAACAGG
rnacentral:rRNA from 1 species